ACCUGCCCACCACUUGGGGAUAACCUUGCGAAAGUAAGACUAAUACCCAAUGAUAUCUCUAGAAGACAUCUGAAAGAGAUUAAAGAUUUAUCGGUGAUGGAUGGGGAUGCGUCUGAUUAGCUUGUUGGCGGGGUAACGGCCCACCAAGGCAACGAUCAGUAGGGGUUCUGAGAGGAAGGUCCCCCACAUUGGAACUGAGACACGGUCCAAACUCCUACGGGAGGCAGCAGUGAGGAAUAUUGGUCAAUGGACGAGAGUCUGAACCAGCCAAGUAGCGUGCAGGAUGACGGCCCUAUGGGUUGUAAACUGCUUUUAUAAGGGAAUAAAGUGAGUCUCGUGAGACUUUUUGCAUGUACCUUAUGAAUAAGGACCGGCUAAUUCCGUGCCAGCAGCCGCGGUAAUACGGAAGGUCCGGGCGUUAUCCGGAUUUAUUGGGUUCAAAGGGAGCGUAGGCCGGAGAUUAAGCGUGUUGUGAAAUGUAGACGCUCAACGUCUGCACUGCAGCGCGAACUGGUUUCCUUGAGUACGCACAAAGUGGGCGGAAUUCGUGGUGUAGCGGUGAAAUGCUUAGAUAUCACGAAGAACUCCGAUUGCGAAGGCAGCUCACUGGAGCGCAACUGACGC
rnacentral:rRNA from 1 species